rnacentral:lncRNA from 1 species
AGAACUCCCGCGAGGGUGCGGGUCUUCCUCCAGCGCUGGGCUACUUGGUCCCGCCCCUCAAGGGUUCACUACUAUUUUCCGCGUUGCUCUCAAUACCUCGUGGAUCUCUGCUUCUCUAAGUCUGAAACCACACUAGAAACACAGCUGUUUUGUUUGGUGAGCCCCUACAUGGAUGUUUCCUUCCAGUUAAGGGGAGCCGGAUUCGGACCUUGGCGACAAACAGACGCCGGGGAACCCUCCGGUCCCACUGGCCACGUGCUCCAGGCUGACUCAUUCCUUCCCCCACCCCGCUCAAGGCUAGGAACAUACCUGCGCUAAGAACUGAGGCAGCUGCACUUCCGCAGACGUAAGAGACGAACUCCUGGAGCUCAAGGUCGGCUGGGGUUGGGUUCCUGUCCCGCACGCGUGGCCCGCCCGAAACCCGCUACAUAGUGGCGCGUCAGCCCUGGGGAAGCAAAGCGCAAAAUUGUUACGGUGCCCAGACCUGCGCCGGGAACCUCCGGCUGUUCCGCUGGGCGCGGCGCCUGUGCCUCGCGCAGCCCCGGGACGGGCACCG